rnacentral:rRNA from 1 species
UACGUAGGUGGCAAGCGUUGUCCGGAUUUAUUGGGUUUAAAGGGUGCGUAGGCGGUCUUAUAAGUCAGUGCUGAAAUAUCCCGGCUUAACCGGGAGGGUGGCAUUGAUACUGUAGGACUUGAGUAAAGUUGAGGUUGGCGGAAUUGACGGUGUAACGGUGAAAUGCUUAGAUAUCGUCAAGAACACCGAUAGUGUAGACAGCUAACUAAGCUUUAACUGACGCUGAGGCACGAAAGUGUGGGGAUCAAACAGG